UCUGUUUUUAUAUUACAUCUGUCUUUUCCUUUGGCUUUGGGGUUAAUUUUCAUCUUGCUUCAGCUAGCAUGUAUAGCAGGGGUGGGCAACCUGUGGCCCUCAGCCUUAUUUUAUGUGGUCCUUGACCAAAUUCAGAAGCCCUCUGCAAGUGUUCCUCCCUGGCAGCUGCUGGGUAGAGAAGAAAAGUUAGAAAGAAGGUGUUGAAAAAGUGUUGCUCUGCCCAUUUUUAGUUGUAGCCUCACCAACAGCCAUUUUUGUCCCACACACAAUUGAUGUGAGGUUCCUGACAAAUUGCCCCAAACAUUACCCACCUCUAACUCAGAUGCCUUGUGGAAAUGGAAAGGUACCUGAAUUCACACAAGAUGUACUCCCAAAUUUCCACCAAUUUUCUCCUUCUAUUGAAGCUCAACACUACAUCUCACAUUGUUCAAGAAUGUCUCCCAACAAUUGGCAGUUGCAUUUGAGCAUUUGCAGAGAUGUGCAGUAAGGAAGAAGGGGUGGGAAAGCCAUUUUCUUUGGAAUCAAGGUAUUAUGAUUCAUGUAAGCAUGAUUACUGUGAUCUAAAUCAAAAGAACAAAUUUGGUUGUUCUGUGCGCUAAUAACUAGUGUCAUUAAAGCCAUAGUUAUUCACCAUUCAUACUUAUCUGAAAUGGAUCCUUGUGUAGUUCUGUGCUUUCUUGAUUCAGUCAGUUUGUGCAAUGGGAACAAUUGGUCGGGCAAAGGCCCAGUGGUAGAUAGGUCAGUGUUGACUAUACUGAAUUAGGUUGACCAUUGACCCAACUCCGUAUAAGACAUUUUCACAUAUUUCUGUAAAUUAAUAACAGCUGACUGCAGCCCCAAACAAAUUCUGCCAUAGAAAUUUGCUGCCAGUAUUUAUUUCCAUAUUUGAUCACUAGGUUGAACCUAUUAACAAACUGCCUCACUCGCUGCCCCAAUAGCUGUCUUACUCAUUUCUUGCACAAUGUGGUCUUCCUCUUCUUCUGCCUUUGUACAUGCAAGCUCCUUUUUCCUUCUAGUUCACUAUGGUGCUGUGUUUCAACUGCACAGAUACCAGCCAUGGUUAGUUUUCAGACUAGGUGCUAGUGGUGGGUAGGGCAAUAAGCGAAAGUGGCUGGAUAAAAGACUGUUAAUUUUACCUUUGUACAGUAGGCUUCUUUCUACCUGCACACAGACUGCCCUUCACCCAGGAAAAGAAGAAGUAUUAUUAGUGUUCAUAGACACAUUCCAGCCAGCCAGAAAUGCCACGUAAGAAUGCAAGGCAGGGCCCACAGGGAGAAUGGCCUGAGAGAAGGAGUUGUGGCUGGAGAGGUGGCCAGAUAGAGAUGCCUGGGGCCUGAAGUUCCACACAAACACAUUCUCUACCUGUAUUGUUUUGGAACUGCAGGAAACAGGAUAUGGUGGUAUUAAUGUGUAGAUUACAAUUUCAGCUAUCCAUUUUAACAAUACUCAGCUUUAACUUUGCCUCAUUUCAUUUUU